rnacentral:rRNA from 1 species
UACAGGGGGUGCAACGUUGCUCGGAAUCAUUGGGCGUAAAGCGCACGUAGGCGGUCUGUUAUGUCGGAUGUGAAAGCCCUUGGCUUAACUGAGGAAGUGCAUCCGAAACUGGCAGGCUAGAGUACUAAAGAGGGUCGCGGAAUUCCCGGUGUAGAGGUGAAUUCGUAGAUAUCGGGAGGAACACCGGUGGCGAAAGGCGGCUACC